rnacentral:rRNA from 2 species
AAACCAACAGGGAUUGCCCUAGUAACGGCGAGUGAACAGGCAAGAGCUCAGAUUUGAAAGCCUUUUUGGCAUUGUAUUCUGAAGUCAGUUUCCUGAGUAUCGGUGUUUAAGUCUUCUGGAAAGGAGCGCCAUGGAGGGUGAUAGCCCCGUACGACACCUCACUCAUUGUAGGAUUCUGACGUGGAGUCGAGUUGUUUGGGAAUGCAGCUCAAAAGGGUGGUAUGCUCCAUCUAAAGCUAAAUAUCUGUGAGAGACCGAUAGCGAACAAGUACUGUGAAGGAAAGAUGAAAAGAACUUUGAAAAGAGAGUGAAAAAGUACGUGAAAUUGUUGAAAUGGAAGGAUAUGCCGCUAACAAUGUAGAGCCGUGUUUGGGGGGAAGACAAAAGCUGAAGAAUGUAUCUCUUUUAGGGAAUUAUAACUUCAGUCAAUAUUCCCAUCCGGGCGCGAGGACCUCAGGCUCUACUAAAUGGUGGUCUAUCAC